rnacentral:rRNA from 1 species
UACGUAGGUGGCAAGCGUUGUCCGGAAUUAUUGGGCGUAAAGCGCGCGCAGGCGGUUCUUUAAGUCCGAUGUGAAAGCCCACGGCUCAACCGUGGAGGGUCAUUGGAAACUGGAGAACUUGAGUACAGAAGAGGAAAGCGGAAUUCCACGUGUAGCGGUGAAAUGCGUAGAGAUGUGGAGGAACACCAGUGGCGAAGGCGGCUUUCUGGUCUGUAACUGACGCUGAGGCGCGAAAGCGUGGGGAGCAAACAGG